GGAUUAGAUACCCUGGUAGUCCACGCUGUAAACGAUGGACACUAGACUUGGCGGGACUUGACCCCUGCCGAGUCGGAGCUAACGCAAUAAGUGUCCCGCCUGGGAAGUACGGUCGCAAGACUAAAACUCAAAGGAAUUGACGGGGGCCCGCACAAGCGGUGGAUCAUGUGGUUUAAUUCGAAGCAACGCGAAGAACCUUACCUGGAUUUGACAUCCUCUGACAUCCGUAGAGAUACGGCUUUCGUAGCAAUACGACAGAGAGACAGGUGCUGCAUGGCUGUCGUCAGCUCGUGCCG
rnacentral:rRNA from 1 species